AACGAACGCUGGCGGCAUGCCUAACACAUGCAAGUCGAACGGGACCUUCGGGUCUAGUGGCGCACGGGUGCGUAACGCGUGGGAACCUGCCUUUAGGUUCGGAAUAACUCAGAGAAAUUUGAGCUAAUACCGGAUAAUGUCUUCGGACCAAAGAUUUAUCGCCUUUAGAUGGGCCCGCGUAAGAUUAGCUAGUUGGUGGGUAAAGGCCUACCAAGGCGACGAUCUUUAGCUGGUCUGAGAGGAUGAUCAGCCACACUGGGACUGAGACACGGCCCAGACUCCUACGGGAGGCAGCAGUGGGGAAUAUUGGACAAUGGGCGAAAGCCUGAUCCAGCAAUGCCGCGUGAGUGAUGAAGGCCUUAGGGUUGUAAAGCUCUUUUACCCGAGAUGAUAAUGACAGUAUCGGGAGAAUAAGCUCCGGCUAACUCCGUGCCAGCAGCCGCGGUAAU
rnacentral:rRNA from 1 species